UUAAAAUUUCAAAUUGUAUAAGUCGCUAUUUCUCAAAUCUUUUUUUCUUCUUCUCAGUCCUAUUGCUCGUAUUCGAAUGUGUCGUAAUCUCUCUCAUAUAGCUGUGAUGCGCACGAUGAUUAUACACAGGUAUAUCUACAAUUUAACGCCGGUUCCGAACGGCAAAUUUUUGGUAGAGAGACGUACUAGGCAAAAUUACUCUCGGUAGUUUAUCAUUUGCCUUUCGAAAGGAGACGUAAAUAUUUUUGGCUCUAUCGGGAAUCGAACCCAGGAUCUCUAGCAUAGUAGAGUGCGCUGUCUACUAUGCCACGCUCGACUCUUUUUUUAUGUGUGUAAAAACAAAAAUUAAUAAUUCUAUUCAUAUUAAUGAAAUACUGCAGAUAUCUCAGAGAGCUUAAAUGUUGCUGGUUGGAUCGAUCUUAGUGCUAUCCAGGAAUAAAUGUAAAUGCCA